GACGAACGCUGGCGGCGUGCUUAACACAUGCAAGUCGAACGGAAAGGCCCUGCUUUUGUGGGGUGCUCGAGUGGCGAACGGGUGAGUAACACGUGAGUAACCUGCCCUUGACUUUGGGAUAACUUCAGGAAACUGGGGCUAAUACCGGAUAGGAGCUCCUGCUGCAUGGUGGGGGUUGGAAAGUUUCGGCGGUUGGUGAUGGACUCGCGGCUUAUCAGCUUGUUGGUGGGGUAGUGGCUUACCAAGGCUUUGACGGGUAGCCGGCCUGAGAGGGUGACCGGCUACAUUGGGACUGAGAUACGGCCCAGACUCCUACGGGAGGCAGCAGUGGGGAAUAGUGUACAAUGGGCGGAAGCCUGAUGCAGCAACGCCGCGUGCGGGAUGACGGCCUUCGGGUUGUAAACCGCUUUCGCCUGUGACGAAGCGUGAGUGACGGUAAUGGGUAAAGAAGCACCGGCUAACUACGUG
rnacentral:rRNA from 1 species